GAUGAACGCUGGCGGCGUGCCUAAUACAUGCAAGUCGAGCGAACGGACGAGAAGCUUGCUUCUCUGAUGUUAGCGGCGGACGGGUGAGUAACACGUGGAUAACCUACCUAUAAGACUGGGAUAACUUCGGGAAACCGGAGCUAAUACCGGAUAAUAUUUUGAACCGCAUGGUUCAAAAGUGAAAGACGGUCUUGCUGUCACUUAUAGAUGGAUCCGCGCUGCAUUAGCUAGUUGGUAAGGUAACGGCUUACCAAGGCAACGAUGCAUAGCCGACCUGAGAGGGUGAUCGGCCACACUGGAGCUGAGACACGGUCCAGACUCCUACGGGAGGCAGCAGUAGGGAAUCUUCCGCAAUGGGCGAAAGCCUGACGGAGCAACGCCGCGUGAGUGAUGAAGGUCUUCGGAUCGUAAAACUCUGUUAUUAGGGAAGAACAUAUGUGUAAGUAGCUGUGCACAUCUUGACGGUACCUAAUCAGAAAGCCACGGCUAACUACGUG
rnacentral:rRNA from 1 species